UAAACAAAUUCACUCUCAAUAUUCUCUCUUUGCCCAGCGUUUUGCACAAACCAAAAAUAUGGAGGACCUCUCUUUGUUCAGCCUUUUGCCCAAACCAAAUAUGGAGGCUCUCUCUUUGCUCGACCUUUUUCCAAAACCAAAAAUGGAGGAUCUCUCUUUGUUUGCGUCCGAAUCAAAUAUGGAGGAUCUCUCUUUGUUCGGAUCUUUUUUGGAACCAAAAAUAAAGCGUCUCUCUUUGUUUCCAUCCGAAUCAAAUAUGAAGGAUCCCUCUUACGAAAAUCUGUCUCGUCUAGUCAAAAGCCCAGAUCUCCUUUCUCGUUUGCUAGCUUUAAGGCUUGAUGGAGGAGAAAAAAAUGUUAGCUUUCAAUGGCUCGGCCCACACUUUUUAACUUUUCUCAAAUAUGUAAAAGAAGUAUUGCAAUGGUUCUAUCCAGACCGCUGCGGACCACUUACUAUGUACAAUCCGUAUUGUCUGUUGAAGCGUCUUGAUGAUUCAGCCUCCGAUUGCAUCUUAUACGAAGAGAUCGUUUCUCAUCACGAUAAUGAACAUUACAAAAACUUUUUAGAAACCAUUCUCGCUUCCAUGCCAAAGCUUAACAAGUUUUUCACAAUUCAAACAUCCAUCGCGUAUAACUCCAUUAAACGUUGGAAAAUCUUCAUCGACUUUCUUUUUGAAACUAUUCGAGAAUUGCUUAAAUGCCAAAAGGAUUCCAUCGUUCUUGUGAGUAAUCAAGUCAAAUUUCUUCAGAAGGGGUUGAAUUUUCUGUUCGCCUUUCUUGUUUAUCCAAGUCCAAGCUAUGAACGGAAGACGAGUAUAUUCACAGAAAUUGAAGCUGUAUUUAAUGAAGCAGGACUGUUCUUGCAUUCAUUCUUUUUCACCACAGAUCUUGUUACCACCCCCAAAAUGGAUCUUGCAAUUUUUGGUCUGUUAGAAAGGAUUGAGAAUGUGCUAGUGAAGAUUAAAUAUUACAGUAUUGCAGUGUCAAGUGAAGUUGGAAUUGGAAGCCCACAAGUUGCAGAAAGUCCAAGUGAAGUAUCAUCAUACCAAGGUAACAGCACUCCCAUGGUAGAAGAGAUCGUUGUGGGCUUAGAGGACACGACAACACAAAUUGUGAGCAAGCUUGUUGGAGGACGAAACUACCGCCAGAUUAUUUCCAUCGUUGGAAUGGGUGGACUUGGCAAGACAACCUCAGCAAAGAAAAUAUACAAUGAUCCCAGUGUUCGGUACUAUUUUGAUAAGCUUUCUUGGUGUGCCGUUUCUCAAACUUAUAAUAAGAGAAAGCUGUUGAUUGACAUUUUGAGCUCCUCACGAGACCUUGACAAAGAAACUAUGUUAAAAAAGGAAGAUGAAGAGUUGGCCGAACAUCUUUACAAAAAUUUAAAGGGUAGAAGAUACCUCAUUAUUAUGGACGAUCUAUGGGAUAAAGAAGUAUGGGAUGAUUUGAAAGUGUUAUUCCCAGACGACACAAAUGGAAGUAGAGUAUUGUUUACCAGUCGGCUGAAAAAUGUGGCAUCGGAAAUUUCUCAUGUUAUCAUUGAACCUCCUCCCCUGUCACCAGACGAAAGUUGGAAAUUAUUAGAGCAGAAGGUGUUCAAAAAAGAAUGUUGUCCUCAACAGCUGCAAGAUAUUGGAAAGCAAAUUGCAGCAAAUUGUAAGGGAUUACCACUUUCAGUAGUUUUGAUAGCUGGAAUUCUUUCAAAUAUGGAGAAAAAAGAAAGCUUAUGGCAACAAGUUGCUAAAAGUUUAAGUUAUUACAUUUCCCAAAAAGCCGACUACUACAUACCCACAUUGAAACUUAGCUACAUCCAUUUACCAGAUCACUUGAAGCCAUGUUUCCUCUAUCUUAGUGCAUUUCAGGAAGACGAGGAAAUUCCAGUUCGGAAGCUAUUAUUACUAUGGAUAGUCGAAGGAUUCAUAGAGAAAAGGGAGCAAAAGACCUUAGAAGAUGUAGCAGAGGAGUAUUUAAUGGAACUUGUUAACAGGAGCCUACUUCAAGUGUCCAAAAGAAGAUCUGACAAUGGAGUACAAGAAUGUACUCUUCACGAUCUUGUUCUCGAUAUGUGCAGCAAAAUGGUUGUAGAAGAUGAAAAUUUUCUAUUUCAACAUCAAUUCUUGGUAUCUAAGCAUCGCCGUCUCCAUCACUUGUAUAUGGGUCAGUUUCAUCGCGUCUUGACAUCUGAGAAUAUUUUUGAGGCCUUCCCCAUUGCUUAUAAUUUGGAAAAAAUUAGGAUUGUUGAUUCAAGCAAUGUUGAAAAUGUUCUACUGGGAAUCAAAUUUAUGCCUGACAUGAGGUACUUGAAUAUUUCAAAUUUAGAGCCAUCAAUAGGCAAACUCCAUAACCUUGAAUAUCUUUGUUUGCCGAUCAUAAAGGAAGUACCGACAUACCUUCUCAAUAUGCCUAAGUUGAGACAUUUAAGGGUCCGUGUCUACUAUGAUGGUGCAAGAUUCACUAAGAACAGUGAUAGCUUCCGAAUAAAUUGCCUACAAACCCUUGGUUUCGUUGAGAUUGUCGAUUUGGAAGACGAAGAAAUCCUGAGAUGUUCACCUAAUCUUCGUAUGCUUAAAUGCAGGCCAAUCGACAAUUACUUUCCUGAUCUUAACUUUUUUUCUCAGCUUCAAACACUCACAAUUGCAGGAGGACUGUUAGGACGUGAUUACUCGAUGGUUAAAUUUCCUGUGAAUAUCAAAAAGCUUACUCUUAUUAACUUUAGUUUGCCUUGGGAAGAGAUGUCAUUAAUUGGGACAUUGCCCAACCUCGAGAUUUUGAAAUUAGAAACGAACACCUUUUCAGGAAAAACUUGGGAUACGAAGGAUGAUGAGUUCCAGAAACUCAAAUUCCUUAAAUUAGAUUCGCUAGACCUUGAACAGUGGAAUUCUUCACACGAUCAUUUUCCUGUACUUGAACGAUUGGUGUUGGUAGAAUGCUUAUUUUUGGAGAAUAUUCCUUCUGAAUUUAGUAGCAUUUCAACACUACGGAGGAUUAAGUUACUUUAUUGUGGUGAAGAUGUUGAAACUUCAGCUUUGGAAAUUCGUCAAGAACAACUGGAUUAUGGUAAUACAGAGUUUGAUGUGACCAUCGAAAGCGAUUGGUCGUGAAGACAACUUCAUUCUACUGGAGUACACCGUGAGCACGCGUUUCCUCUCUUCACUUCGACGAAGAACCAUGGAGAUUCGGCUGUAAAGUUGUCCUCCUUGAAGCAAGUGACGAGCAUACUACUAUCUUUACAGCCUUCUCACGACGCAGAGCUCUUUCUGUACUCGAUUGAGCUUCAGACUUCCCUAGACAUGCUCGUGCGUAAAUACCUCCUCGAUUUUGAGAACAAGUGAGGUGGAUUCAAUUGCAAGUGUGAAUGAGAUAAACUAUACAUAAUGGAGCAGGACAUGUGUAUUUGUAAGACAAAUUAUCCUAUUGGUUAAGCUACGAAUAAACAAAUAUUUCCAAUUUCAAUUUUGAAGAGGUUAUAAAUAUUUGUUUAUGGAUUGUACAUAUGUAAUGUUGUUACAAGGCUAAGAAAAGGGACGAGGCAGUGGCAUUACUAGCACAGGUAAAAGGACAGAUACCCAUGUCAGUAGCAGCACCAAAUGCAGUUAAUAAUGCUGUCUUAAGCAAUGGGAAAAGAGAUGGGGAAAAGGUCCGUCCUGGAAUAUCAAAUAAUAUCAUUUCCAAGCUUUCAGACUUUAAUGCUGCUCUUUCACAUCUAAGGAAAAAGCGAAAGAUACCCUCAACAUUGGCAUCUGUUGAUGCUGUGGAGAAAUACACUCAACUUAAUGGUUGUCCUCUUCAUCGGACAAAGCAAGCCUGCCGUGUCAUCUUUUGACAUCCAGUAUUUCAAGGUACAAUAUUUGUGAUCCUAUAUUUGGAGAUGAUCAACCAUACAUAGUGAAUACGGUGUUUACAUACCAUCUUGAUAAAGCUACAAAGAUAGAAGUUGGAUUAGGGCGAGGAAUUCAAAAAUUCCUUUUGAGGUGUAAGGCCACACCAAAAGCUUCAGUUAGAAAGAAGGUAGGAGAGGAAAGUUGUUUUGAUGCUGGGGCACCUUGUGCUAUGUGAUCGCCAAUAAGUUCUAAAAAAUGUGUUCAACCUUCAGAAUUCUAAGUUGAAAAAGGGUUGCCCCAAAGCGUAUCAUCUGUCUUGUGUAAAUCAAGAAGAGGUCUUCUUCAUCACGAAGGGUUGUUGGAACUGUGAUAGCUGUAUUCAAUCUCUGCUAGGUGAUCAGUUAGCAAUAGGAAAAGAAACGUGACGUUGUCUGGGGAUGGAAACCAACAUGUAUCCAUCAUCGGCAUUAUUAGGGCAUGAGAAAGAUGAGACUUUUGUUGCUUUGCCUAUUGAUGAGCUAAUAGAAAAGGCUGAUGGUUUUGCUUGUGUUUUUCCUGGUAGCAAAUAUUUAGAAAACUUCCCUUCCCGUUGAAAUGGAAGUGGAAGCCCAUUCUUAGCAAAGGAGGAUAGGACUGUGGCUCCAAUUGCAUUUACAGAAAUAGUAUUUAGAAAACUUGAUCCUUCCGUAAAGGUACACAGUUUGCCUUUUGUAGUAAAUCAACAAUUUCAAAUUUUUGGAUUCAAUUAAAUAUUCAGUUGAAGCAUUUUUUAUUUAUUA